GUGAAUGCCUGGGCUGUCAUACGGACUGCGGUCUCUGACGCCCACCCACUAUAUCCGCAAACCCUGUGCACUGUUCUAAGGAGUAAGAAAGAAGAAGGGGAGGGGAGAGAGAGUGCAUGUGCUUUGCAUAUAACUCUCUCUCACUCUCCACUCUCUUUCUCUCUCCGGUUAAUUACAAACUCGUAUGGAUUUGUAUGAACGUGAGAUAUAUCGUUGGACCGUCACUGGCCAACAAAUAUAACA
rnacentral:misc_RNA from 1 species